rnacentral:rRNA from 1 species
GUCUUUAAAGUUAAAAAUUUUGGCGGUAUUUUAGUCUUUUCAGAGGAACCUGUUUUAUAAAUGAUAUUCCACGAUUUAUUUAAUUUUUAUUAAAAUUUUCAUAUCGUUGUAAAAAAUAUUUUUAUUAAAAGUAAUAUUAAAGAUUUUUAUUAAAAAAUAGAUCAAAUCAAGAUGUAGUUUAUAUAAAAAUAUAAAUGGGUUACAAUUAGAAAAUUUAUUUAGAAAUUUAAUUUAAAAUUAAAUUGAAAUUGGAUUUGAAAGUAAUUUUUUAAAAAUUUUUAAAAUGAUUAUAGCUCUAAAAUAUGUACAUAUUGCCCGUCGCUUUCAUUAUAAAGUGAAAUAAGUCGUAACAAAGUAGAUUCACUGGAAAGUGAAUCUAGAAAGACAAAUUAGAACUUGGUAAAGUAUUUUAUUUACAUUAAAAAAAUAAUUGUUAAAUUCAAUUUAAUUUGAUUUUAAAAGGUUAUUUAUUAAGUUAAAUUUAAUUUAAAUUAAAAUAAGAAAAUUUAAGUUUUAUUAUUCAGUAAGAAAAAAUUUUUAUUAUUAUAGAGUAUUAGUAUUGUAAAAGAAGAAUUUAGAGAUUUAUAAGGAAAAUAAAUUUUGUACCUGGGUAUCAGGGUGUAUUAAGUUAAUUAUUUAAUAUUAAAUUUUCUCGAAUUAAAAAGAGUUAAAUUUUUAUAUAUUUUAUUGUAAAAUAAAUAUUUAAAAUAAAAGUUUUGAAAUGAAAUGUUAAUCGUUUUUUAAUUUAUCUAGUUUUUAAAGAAAAAAAUUUAAUUUUAUUUAUUUUAGUUAUAAUUUUAAAUUUUUAAUUUUAUUAUUGAAAUAAUUAAAUAUAUUUGGGGAUGAGCUUAAAUAUAAAUUAUUAUAAAGUUAUAAAUGUGAAUUAAUUUAUAGGAUUAGAAUUGUUUAUUUAUAAAAAAAUGUUAUAAUUUAUUGAAUAAAAUAUUAGAUUUUUAUAAUUUUUAAUUUUUUUAUUUAAAUAUUUUAAGAAAUUAAUUGAUAAAAGUUAAAAUGGUAUAAUUAGUAUAUUUAUAUUUAUUAUUAUUAAAAAUUGAUUGGUAAAUUAAAGGAACUCGGCAAAUAAAUUUUUCACCUGUUUAUUAAAAACAUCUCUUUUUGAUAAUAAUUUUAAGUAUUCCCUGCCCCCUGAAAUUUUAAUGGCCGCGGUAUUUUGACCGUGCAAAGGUAGCAUAAUCAUUAGUUUUUUAAUUAAAAGCUGGAAUGAAGGGGAGAAUGAAAAAAAAUCUGUCUUUAGUUUAUUAGAGUAAAAUUUUAUUUUUAAGUUAAAAAGCUUAAAUUUAAUUAAAAGACGAUAAGACCCUAUAGAGUUUUAUAUAAAUUUUAAUUUAUUCUUGUAGAAUUAAU